AAACUAUGAUGGGGGCAUAGUCGAAGCAUCCCUUUAAACUAUCCGAUGCUUCAAACAAAGAUUUGUUGGUGCAGGAAACAUAAGAUGAUUGAACCUAAGUAU